GGUUUUCCGAACUAAAAAACUGGUUAUUAGAUUGGCGAAUGCGGGCGGGCUGGCUGGCGGGCUGGCGGAACAAGCUUGUCCGGGCCAUAACUAUGUCGUUCAUUGUCAGAUUUUAAAAUCAUUUGGCACAUUUGUUCACCAUCAUUGGACGGUGUGUCGCGCGAAAUAAUUACGUCGAUAUCUCCAAGGUCAAGGUCACACUUUGAGUUCAAAAGUCAAAAAUGGCCAUAAAUGAGCUUGUCCGAGCCAUAACUAUGUCGUUCAUUGUCAGAUUUUAAAAUCAUUUGGCACAUUUGUUCACCAUCAUUGGACGGUGUGUCGCGCGAAAUAAUUACGUCGAUAUCUCCAAGGUCAAGGUCACACUUUGAGUUCAAAGGUCAAAAAUGGCCAUAAAUGAGCUUGUCCUGGCCAUAACUAUGUCAUUCAUUGUGAGAUUUUAAAAUCAUUUGGCACAUUUGUUCACCAUCAUGGGACGGUGUGUCGCACGAAAGAAUCACGUCAAUAUCUCCAAUGUCAAGGUCGCCACGACUAAAAAUAUAUUUUUUUUAAAAACAAACUUACAAAGGGGUUAAUUUUGUUUGUUCAUUUCAAAAGUUCA